UCUUUGGAUGAAAGCGGGGGAUCUUCGGACCUCGCGCUAUAGGGUUGGCCGAUGGCUGAUUAGCUAGUUGGUGGGGUAAAGGCCUACCAAGGCGACGAUCAGUAGCUGGUCUGAGAGGACGACCAGCCACACUGGGACUGAGACACGGCCCAGACUCCUACGGGAGGCAGCAGUGGGGAAUUUUGGACAAUGGGCGAAAGCCUGAUCCAGCAAUGCCGCGUGUGUGAAGAAGGCCUUCGGGUUGUAAAGCACUUUUGUUCGGGAAGAAAUCCCCUGGUCUAAUACAUCGGGGGGAUGACGGUACCGGAAGAAUAAGCACCGGCUAACUACGUGCCAGCAGCCGCGGUAAUACGUAGGGUGCGAGCGUUAAUCGGAAUUACUGGGCGUAAAGCGUGCGCAGGCGGUUUGUUAAGACCGAUGUGAAAUCCCCGGGCUCAACCUGGGAACUGCAUUGGUGACUGGCAAGCUAGAGUAUGGCAGAGGGGGGUAGAAUUCCACGUGUAGCAGUGAAAUGCGUAGAGAUGUGGAGGAAUACCGAUGGCGAAGGCAGCCCCCUGGGCCAAUACUGACGCUCAGC
rnacentral:rRNA from 1 species